UACGGGGGGGGCAAGCGUUGUUCGGAAUUACUGGGCGUAAAGGGCGCGUAGGCGGUUCGCUAAGUUGGAUGUGAAAACUCUGGGCUCAACCCAGAGCCUGCAUCCAAAACUGGCGGGCUAGAGUUCUGGAGGGGGUAGCGGAAUUCCUGGUGUAGCGGUGAAAUGCGUAGAGAUCAUGAGGAAGACCAGUGGCGAAGGCGGGUCUCUGGACAGUUCCUGACACUGAGGCACGAAGGCCAGGGGAGCAAACGGG
rnacentral:rRNA from 1 species